rnacentral:rRNA from 1 species
AUACGGGGGGUGCAAGCGUUGUUCGGAAUUAUUGGGCGUAAAGCGCGCGCAGGCGGGAAAGUAAGUCUACUCUAAAAGUGCGGGGCUCAACCCCGUGAUGGGGUGGAAACUGCUUUUCUUGAGUGCCGGAGAGGAAAGUGGAAUUCCCAGUGUAGCGGUGAAAUGCGUAGAUAUUGGGAGGAACACCAGUGGCGAAGGCGACUUUCUGGACGGCGUCUGACGCUGAGGCGCGAAAGCCAGGGGAGC